CGUCAGAACGAACGCUGGCGGCAUGGAUUAGGCAUGCAAGUCGAACGGAGCAGCAAUGCUCCAGUGGCGCAAGGGUGAGGAACACGUGAACAACCUGCCUUCGAGUUGGGGAUAGCUUCUGGAAACGGAGAUAAUACCGAAUAACAUCAUUUGGUCGCAUGACUGGAUGAUCAAAGCAGCAAUGCGCUUGAAGAGGGGUUCGCGUCCCAUUAGCUAGUUGGUGAGGUAACGGCCCACCAAGGCGAUGAUGGGUAGCUGGUCUGAGAGGACGACCAGCCACAUUGGGACUGAGAUACUGCCCAGACUCCUACGGGAGGCUGCAGUCGGAGAAUUUUGGGCAAUGGACGAAAGUCUGACCCAAGCAAUGCCGCGUGCGGGAUGAAGGUCUUCGGAUUGUAAACCGCUGUCAAGAGGGACGAAACAUGACGGUACCUCUGGAGGAAGCCACGGCUAACUACGUGCCAGCCGCCGC
rnacentral:rRNA from 1 species